rnacentral:rRNA from 1 species
UUUUAAUAUAUCUAGUUUUUUAAGAAAUUAAUUUAAUUUAAAUAUUUAAUUUUAAUUUUUUAUUUUCUUUAGAAAGUUAUAAUUAAAUAUUAAUAUUUUAAGGGAUGAGCUUUAAAAUAAAAAUUUAUAAAUAAUUUUUAUUAAUUUAAUAAUUGUAAGCUUAGAAUUAGUUAUCAAUAGAAAUUAUGUUUUAAUUUAUUUUUAAAAUUAAUAUUAUUUAAUAUUUAUUUUAUUUUUUAUAUUAAAAUAUAAAUUUUAAUUUUGUAAAUUUAUUAAUAAUGAUAAAAUUAGUAAAUAUAAUAAUUAUAUAAAUAAAUUUUAUAAUGAUUGGUUUUUAUAAUUAAUUCGGCAAAUUUUGUGCUCACCUGUUUAUCAAAAACAUGUCUUUUUAGUAUUUAAUAUAAAGUCUGACCUGCCCACUGAAUAAUGUUUAAAGGGCCGCAGUAUUUUGACUGUGCAAAGGUAGCAUAAUCAUUAGUCUUUUAAUUGAAGGCUGGUAUGAAUGGUUGGAUGAGAUACAAGCUGUGUCAUAAAAAUUAAAAUUUGAAUUUAACUUUUUAGUUAAAAGGCUAAAAUAAUUUUAAAAGACGAGAAGACCCUAUAGAGCUUUAUAUAAUAAAUAUUUAAAUUAUUAAGAUUUAUUAAAUUUAAUUUUUGUAUUAUAUUUUGUUGGGGUGACAAUAAAAUUUAUAAAACUUUUAUUUUUAUUUUACAUUUAUUUAUGUUUAAAUGAUCCAUUUUUAUUGAUUAUAAAUUUAAGUUACCUUAGGGAUAACAGCGUAAUUUUUUUUGAGAGUUCUUAUCGACAAAAAAGAUUGCGACCUCGAUGUUGGAUUAAGAGUAAUUUUGGGUGUAGCAGUUCAAAGUUUAAGUCUGUUCGACUUUUAGAAUCUUACAU